rnacentral:rRNA from 1 species
UAAGUCCCGCAACGAGCGCAACCCUUGAUCUUAGUUGCCAGCAUUUAGUUGGGCACUCUAAGGUGACUGCCGGUGACAAACCGGAGGAAGGUGGGGAUGACGUCAAAUCAUCAUGCCCCUUAUGACCUGGGCUACACACGUGCUACAAUGGAUGGUACAAAGGGCUGCAAGACCGCGAGGUCAAGCCAAUCCCAUAAAACCAUUCUCAGUUCGGAUUGUAGGCUGCAACUCGCCUACAUGAAGCUGGAAUCGCUAGUAAUCGCGGAUCAGCAUGCCGCGGUGAAUACGUUCCCGGGCCUU